rnacentral:lncRNA from 1 species
UAUUUUCCCCUAGAUCUGUAGUUCUAGCCAGGUCAGGGCCAGAGGGAUAUAAUGGAAACAGCUUGCUUUCCUGCUUCAGAGUCACCUUCAGGGUGAAGUAGACAUAUGCUUGCAUAAAUCACUGGUUGCUAAAUAAAUUGGAUACAUUGAAAGAAAUUCAUCUUACCAAGAGGUAGAGAAUAUUUCUCUUCCCUGUGAACCUGGGGUUGGUCUUGUGACUAGGUGUGACCAAUAGAGUAUUAGCAAACAUGACAUGGGCAGAGGAGUAAAAAGUGCCUGUGGAUUGGCUUUUCUCCUCUUUUGGGGCUGAGAUGAUUUCUGCUACCAUGUGACUAAGUCUGGACUAGCCUUCUGAGGGUUGAGAGACCACAGGAAGAGAGAUCAGCCAUCCUGGCCAUCUCAGCUGAAAUCCCAUGGACCAAGUAAAAUAUGUGGAAAACAAGACAUGAGUCAGCCAUUCUAGACCAAGCCAGCACAGAAUGGAAGAAAUGCCAAGUCGACUCACAGAAUUGGGACUCUAAUAAUUGAUAAGGAAAGUAUCUGACAUUAUUGCUCCUGCUGACCCCUUGGUGUCCCAGCCUAGGAAAGGCAAGAAGCUACAAGGUCAGUCAUGGGCAGGGUCAGCUGUGAACACAGAAAUGAAAGGUAGGAGAUGUGAGA